UACGAAGGGGGCUAGCGUUGUUCGGAAUUACUGGGCGUAAAGGGCGCGUAGGCGGUAUAACAAGUCAGGUGUGAAAGCCCUGGGCUCAACCCGGGAACUGCGCUUGAGACUGUUAUUCUUGAAUUCGGUAGAGGUGAGUGGAAUUCCCAGUGUAGAGGUGAAAUUCGUAGAGAUUGGGAAGAACACCGGUGGCGAAGGCGGCUCACUGGACCGACAUUGACGCUGAGGCGCGAAAGCGUGGGGAGCAAACAGG
rnacentral:rRNA from 1 species